GACGAACCGUGCGAACGUUGUUCGGAAUCACUGGGCUUAAAGGGCGCGUAGGCGGGCUCGCAAGUCAGGGGUGAAAGCCCACGGCUCAACCGUGGAAGUGCCUUUGAUACUGCGGGCCUUGAGGAAGGUAGGGGCGUGCGGAACUUCCGGUGGAGCGGUGAAAUGCGUAGAUAUCGGAAGGAAUACCAGUGGCGAAGGCGGCCUCCUGGAUCGAUACUGACGCUGAGGCGCGAAAGCGUGGGGAGCAAACAGG
rnacentral:rRNA from 1 species